rnacentral:rRNA from 1 species
GACGAACGCUGGCGGCGUGCUUAACACAUGCAAGUCGAACGGUAAGGCCCUUCGGGGUACACGAGUGGCGAACGGGUGAGUAACACGUGGGUGAUCUGCCCUGCACUUCGGGAUAAGCCUGGGAAACUGGGUCUAAUACCGGAUAGGACUCCUGGCUUCAUGGUUGGGGGUGGAAAGCUUUUGCGGUGUGGGAUGGGACCGCGGCCUAUCAGCUUGUUGGUGGGGUAAUGGCCUACCAAGGCGACGCCGGGUAGCCGGCCUGAGAGGGUGACCGGUCACACUGGGACUGAGAUACGGCCCAGACUCCUACGGGAGGCAGCAGUGGGGAAUAUUGCACAAUGGGCGCAAGCCUGAUGCAGCGACGCCGCGUGAGGGAUGACGGCCUUCGGGUUGUAAACCUCUUUCAGCUAUGACGAAGCGCAAGUGACGGUAGUAGCAGAAGAAGGACCGGCCAACUACGUGCCAGCCGCCGCGGUAAAAC